GGUGAGAGAAAUUCCCUGGCUUGUUUCCCCUGCUGUCUGUAUAUCAUCCUAGCAGCCGGAGUAGCAGUUUGCUUUGAUUUGGGAGUCCAUUACACCAUGAUAAUAUGAUUGCUUCAAGGAACAUGUUCUGAACAAGAGUAAGGGAUUUAAGAAACUGAAGACAGAAAGUAUCCACAGAAUCAUGGAGAAGCAUGUGGAAUACAAACACAGGAAGGAGACAAGAAGAUCUGGAUAACGGUAAAGCAAUGCAUAUGGGAAGUCUGCUUGAGAAGAACAAACACAAAUGCCAAAAAUAAUUCACUAGCUACAUUUAGUUAGAAGAUCUGGAGAGCAAACAUAAGCAUCCUAAACAAAUGAAGUAGGUUAGCCAGAGUGUCUGCCGGCCCCAGGGUCACAUACUGCUGCUCUAACUGCCAGCAGUGUCCAUGUGGAAUGGGGAGCUUUCCAAAUUCUGGCCAGAACUGACUGUGUAGAGAAUACUGUCAGUUCUCUUGCCUUUCUUAUUAAAUGUAUACUGCAAUGCAAAGCCAUGUCAGAAAAAACUGAGCUCAUGUGUCUGCAAAGCAAGUGCUAUGAUAUGCAGAAUUGCUUGUUUAUGGUCUAGAAGCAAAACAGUAGUGUUAGUCUGCUCCUGUACAUGAACAUAUUUUCACAUCAUCGAAAUUUUAAUUUUAUUUUAAAUGAAUACAUAUUUUUCCUUUAAGCAUAUAGAAAGGGUGCUAAAACAGGCUUAUGAGGUAUCCUUA